ensembl:lncRNA
GCAAUUAAAAAUACAAUCUAUUUUUACUUCAAUAGAUUUUUUGACAUCUGUAAUUACAUUAAAUAUUAAAAUCUUUCACUCCAAUGACAAAUUUGAUUAAUUUACCAAAUACAACACAGCUAUAUGAACUAUAAACUACACACCUGUAAAGAAAGAAGUGUCUUGUGUUAUGUAACACAUGUGAAUUUUAGAAUUUCUACUUUACAAAUAAUUUGAAUGCUUCCUUUCCACUGAAAGGAUGUGGUAAUCACUUUAUUAUACAUAUAAUUAAUUAUACAGCUGCAAAGUAAUUGUAAUCACCAAAUCUCAUUUCAGUAGUGUGAGAAAAAUAGUCCCAUACGUGCACCUAAACAGCAUUGGGUCUCUUUGGAGGAUCUCACAGCAUCUCAUCCAUCCACAUCGCUCAUGACGUCCACCUUAAUUGUCUGGUUGUGAAAGCUCUCAUUGCCCCAAACCGAUCAAACCGAUCGAACCGAUCAAACCGAUCAAACCGAUCAUUUGUGGCAUUUCCGGCGAUCGCCACAAAGCUAACAGCUACAAUGUAAACUAACGGUCGCGCAAAAUCUAACUGCUACUUGUGCGCAGGGAUACAGACCGCUCGGGUCAAUGUGAACAGCAACUGCACAUCACUGCUGAAUAAUGCACCCCGGGACUCACUCUCAACCAAUCAGAACGCUGGAUUUCAUCUACCCGUAUUAUACAUUGUAUUAAGGACAGAUACUCCCUUAUUUGGUUCUAACUGGCCUAUUAUUGAAUAAAAAGAGAAAAAAAUGCAUUUGAAUUAAGAUAAAACUAUUGAACAGUUCAAAAUGAAGCUUAAACAUCCCUAUUCUGAACGUUUUGAAUAUUGCACCUCUCAGUUUUCUUACAUCUACACAUUCUGCAGUAAUAAAACAAUCUUGUGGUUGUUCCUUAAUGCGCCAUGCAGCAUCUGUGGCUCAGGUUUACUGGUUAAGCUUAGAGUGGAGUUGGCUUGUUUUCCCUUGCUGGUGUUAUCAGGUCCCACGAGGAAAUGUUUCAGCAUCAGUCACUGAGCGAAUGUGUGUGUGUGUGUGUGUGACUACAAACAGCACAGUAAUCUGUAGGUGGGUCAUCAUUCUUAAUGCAGCCUGUGUCAUCAGUUCCCGUGACAACAGGGGGGAAUGAUGCGACCAAUACAUAUGAAACAGGGUGCCAUGCAUAAACAUGUGGGGGGGAUUUGCAGGAGGAGGAGGAGGGCGAGGGCAGCAUGGGGCGAGGUUAUGUGGGGGAUGUGAGAUAGCUCUACCCAUACCUGUCCUCCUUUCUAGCCCUGUUUGUCAUUCACGAGAGCGCUGUAACUAGCCCCUCCCCCCGGCAUGUGCGUGUGAUGGAUGUUGACAGCAUCAACGGAUGGAAGAUCAGGAUUAAGAUCAAACACAGCUCAGCGUCACGCUGUGUCAGGUUCACUGGACGUUUUGGGCCACACGUGAUACACACACACACACACACACACACACACACACACACACACACACACACACACACACGUAUAUAUCACAGUAAGAGGACUGUAGUAUUCUACCUCCCAUAAAUAUAAGAAACCAAAAGAAGUCCUACUGUAUACCAGUCUGAAAAUGACUCCACUUCUCUUCAUUUAUUCCGUCAGUAAACUCUGUAAACAUGAGCUCAAGCUGUAUACAAGUCUUCUUCAGUCAAGUGAACAGCUUUAGACUACACGCUACACUAGACGGCAUAAAAUCCUCCAUACUUGUCUCUGAAGAAUUAGUGCACUUUAAAUGGAGCAUGCCGACCAUUUUUAUCAUAAUGUCUUAUUUGCUGAAUUCCAGAUGUUUUCCUGCUAUUCUGUCUCUUCACCUCUGACCCUAAACACACACGUUUGUUUAUGAACACAUUGUGUGCACACCUCUCCUGUGUGUGUGUGUGUGUGUGUGUGUGUGUGUGUUAUAUUUACAGGUAAGCUGUACAGUAGAGGGACACUUGGUCUUUAUUUGUUCGGGGAGAGCACACACACCAACACACACACGCACACACACACACACACACGCACACACUCACACACACACGCACACACACACGCACACACACACUCGCCGAGGCGGCGAUACUGGGCUGCGGCCUCUUCUCUCCACACACACACACAGCAUUCCAAAGAGAGAUGUUUUUCUAUUCACUCAUUAUAGAGGGGGCGGCAGGGGUCAAGUUCAAUGCCCACAGAAAAAA